UGAUGUGAGGGCAAUCUGGCUGCAACAUCUGUCACCCCAUUGAUAGCCAGGGUUGAUUCAGCUGAUCUGGCUGGCUAGGUGGGUGUCCCUUUCCUCCCUUAAUACUCCAAGUGCAUCCCUCCCAAAGCUGUGCAAUGGGUUGAAGAGGACGACCUUCCCCGAUAGAGGAGGACUGGUCUUCGGUCAAGGGUAUAUGAGUAGCUGCACUCCCCUGCUAGAACUCCAAACAAGCUCUCAAGCAAAGUAUUUUUAAAACUUGUCGUGGUAACAGAAGAAUAUGAAGAACUAGGCAUGUGGCUCUAUCGUAGAAUGUUUGCCU
rnacentral:snRNA from 1 species